rnacentral:lncRNA from 1 species
CUCUACACCUAUAAGUAGACCUAUGGUUUCGGAGCAAUCACCAAACAAUAAGCUAAACAUUUCUUUUGAUAAAUAAAGGCUUAAGGUAUAUGGCGAAAAUGAAGGCAAUGAGCCUCGCUAGCUUGCUAGUACUUUCAACUUUAGUUAUGGUGUCAGAGAGUCGGGUGGCGAGAAAGGACUUGGGUUUGGAUUUGGGUGGAGUAGGUAUAGGUAUAGGUACUGGAAUCGGUAUUGGACUCGGAGGAGGUGGUUCAGGGUCUGGGUCUGGUGCAGGUGCAGGAAGCUCUGGUUCUAGCUCAUCUUCCAGCUCCUCGAGCUCUAGUUCUUCCGGAGGAGGAGGGGGAGGAGCAGGCUCAGAAGCUGGCUCCUCUGCUGGUUCUCAUGCUGGAUCUGGUUCAGGAGGCCGGGGAGGCGGAGGUGGCGGCGGCGGCGGUGGUGGUGGAGGUGGAGGUGGAGGCGGUGGACGUGGAGGAGGGUCUGGUGAGGGAAGUGGCUAUGGGUCUGGGUCUGGGUCUGGGCAUGGGCGUGGAGGUGGUGGAGAUGAUCGCAAAUAAGAAAAUACGUACUAAUUAUCUUUUUCUUGGAAGAUUUAUGAAUAAGUUAUGCAUGCAUGCAUGCAUUAAUUAAAAUGGUUACUUGUGUAUUAAGUCGCUUUUAGGUUAUGAUGAACAGUGCAUUUGUUGGAAUGCUUUUAGUUUAACAACAAAUUGUGGUUCGUAGUUCAUGAUUGUACUGCAUGCCAUUAUAAUGUAAUAUCCUGUUUUCUUCUUUGGCAAAUGAUCAGGUUGCUUUCCAGUCAUCCAUAAAAUUAUAGUAUAAUUAAUUUGUGUUAACCUCGUUUUUUACGAAAGGUAAAACUUAGUUCUAAAUAGUAUCAUG